GAUGAAGAACGUAGCGAAAUGCGAUACUUGGUGUGAAUUGCAGAAUCCCGUGAACCAUCGAGUCUUUGAACGCAAGUUGCGCCCGAAGCCAUUAGGCCGAGGGCGCGCCUGCCUGGGCGUCACACGUCGUUGCCCCCCCAUCUACUCCUUCGGGAUUGCGGGGGGCGGAUGAUGGCCUCCCGUGCGCCUCGUCGCGCGGUUGGCAUAAAUGCCAAGUCCUCGGCGACACACGCCACGACAAUCGGUGGUUGCGAAACCUCGGUUGCCCGUCGUGUGCGGUCGUCGCGCAUCGAGGGCUCGAAAAAAUUGCCGGGCUCCGGCUCGGCUUUCAACGCGACCCCAGGUCAGGCGGGGUUACCCGCUGAAUUUAAGCAUAUCAAUAAGCGGAGGA
rnacentral:misc_RNA from 1 species